rnacentral:pre_miRNA from 1 species
CAUGUACUCCAUCCGUUCGGAAUUACUUGUCUCGGAAAUGGAUGUAUCUAGAACUAAAAUACGUCUAGAUACAUCCAUUUUAACAACAAGUAAUUCUGAAUGGAGGGAGUAGUAC